GAUGAACGCUGGCGGCGUGCCUAACACUUGCAAGUCGAACGCUCGCAAGAGAGUGGCGCACGGGUGAGUAACACGUAGCUAAUCUGCCCUCAAGACAAGGAUAACUGUAGGAAACUACUGCUAAUACUUGAUAAGCUUACGGACUGUAGAGGUCUAUAAGAAAGAUUUAUCGCUUGAGGAUGAGGCUGCGCGCCAUCAGCUAGUUGGUAAGGUAAUGGCUUACCAAGGCGACGACGGCUAGGGGACCUGAGAGGGUGACCCCCCACACUGGGACUGAGACACGGCCCAGACUCCUACGGGAGGCAGCAGUGAGGAAUAUUGCUCAAUGGGCGCAAGCCUGAAGCAGCGACGCCGCGUGGAUGAAGAAGGUUUUCGGACUGUAAAAUCCUUUUCUGUGUGACGAGAGUGGACGGUAGCACAGGAAUAAGUCUCGGCUAACUACGUGCCAGCAGCCGCGGUAAU
rnacentral:rRNA from 1 species